CUCUUAAACAAAAAGCUUCACAUCUGACAGGCUGUGCCGACAGCACAUUCUCUGGUGACUUUGGUUUCCCAGGGAUCCUUGUGAUAUAUUUAUUCAUUCCCAUGUCAGGACUCUUCUUUUCAGCUGGCAGUUUUAGCUGGAGCCCCUCUUAAACUGCCAAACCCUCAUUGACAUUCAGAUGUGGUAAAAGGAGGGAAACUGAAUAGUGUGAGAAUGGUGGGUUCCUGAAGCACUAUGACAUUUGAUUUAAGGAACAGUGUCUGGAGGAGUAUUGGGAAUGGACGAAUUGGUGAUUUUGCUCUUUGGCAACAUUGGUAGUGCUUAGGAAGGCAGUGGAGUAUAGCUAUUAAGAGCUUGGACUCAUGGCCAGGCAUGGUGGCUUAUGCCAGUAAUCCUAGCACUUUGGGAAGCCGAGGUGGGUGGAUCACGAGGUCAGGAGUUCAAGACCAGCCUGACCAAUAUGGCCAAACCCCAUCUCUACUAAAAAUACAAAAAUUGGUCAGGUGCAGUGGCUCACACUUGUAAUCCCAGCACUUUGGGAGGCCGAGGCGGGGAGAUCACCCGAAGUUGGGAGUUCGAGACCAGCCUGACCAACAUGGAGAAACCCCGUCUCUAUUAAAAAUACAAAAUACAAAAUUAGCUGGGUGUGGGUGGUGCAUGCCUGUAAUCCCAGCUACUCAGGAAGGCUGAGGCAGGAGAAUCACUUGAACCAGGGAGGCAGAAGUUGCAGUGAGCCAAGAUCUUGGCAUUGCACUCCAGGUACCUGUAGUCCCAGCGAGGCUGAAGCAGGAGAAUGGCCUGAAUCUAGGAGGCGGAGGUUGCAGUGAGCCGAGAUCACACCACUGCACUCCAGCCUGGGUGACAGAACUAGACUCAGUCUCAAAAAAAAGAGCUUGGAGUCAGCAGAUGGACUACGUGGCUUUUGUACUUUUUAGCUCUGGUAACCCAGAGCAAUUAAUUUACUCUGCUUUGCUGUCUUAAUCUUUAAAUAACAGUACUUCAAGGGGUGGUGUGAGGCUUAAAUGAGAUCAUUCAUGUAUGAGGGAUAGUUAUGUGAGAAAAUUAAUUAGAUAAUGUCUAAAACAUACAUGUCGACAACAAUAAAAAAUACUGUGCUUUAUUAAGUUAGGGGAAUUGGCUUAAAACUGCAAAAUGAAUGUUAUAGAAAUUUAGUGAGCCAACAAAUAGUUUUUAAAUACUUUUCUCUUCCUUAAGCUUUUCUCCAUGGAAUCCUUCUGUACAUGAUGAAGCCAGAGAAAAGAUGCUGACUCAGAAAGUAAGUGGAUAACAACUUAUGAAAUGGCUAACUCAUUGUUUCUUUUCUAAAAUGUCUUCAUUUGGAGACUGCUCAUUACAUACAAGUAACUUUUUUUGGGAAACAAGUUUGUACAGUGCUGAAAUCUCCUCACCAGUAAUUUUUUAAAUAUCUGUUUUGAUUGUGCCUAGAAGAAGCCUGAAGAACAGCACAAUAAAAGUGUUCAUGUUGCUGGCCUGUCAUGGGUAAAGCCUGGCUCAGUACAGCCUUUCAGUAAAGAAGAGAAAACAGUGGCGACUUAAGAGAUGGUGAAUCUGGUGCACCAUGCACUUUCCUGCUAGACUCUGGCCUAGUUCAAGCUGACCAAUGGCAGAGGACUGCCUGAAGAGUAAAACUGUGUGAACAAUGACUGACUGCCAGUGUUUUCCAUGUAUGCAUAGGUUCUAACAGCAGGGUUUGGAAACCUGUCUCUAAGUAAUGCAUUACUUCUGUCAGAAGUGUCUUAGGGUGGUUAUCUAGUUCAGUACUCCAAAUUAUUGGGGACCUUGAGGCUUAAGUAAGUAUUUUUCUGAAUAUAAUGCUAAAGGUAAGUUGCAUUCAUUUAAACUAAUAGAGCAGACAGAAUUCAGCACUACUUAAUAGUUUAUAAAUCAGUGGUUUCAGUUGUAUAUAUGUUAGGAAAUGGAGAGGUAUAGAGAGAGCAGGUUCCAUAGCUCAGCACUUUUAAGUGGAAGAUCAUUUGAAUCUCAGUCUUCAGCCUGCACUGAUUUGUAGCCUGCACUGUCUUACUGAUUUACAAACUGAAAUCACUGAGAAAUGUCUUUAGUUCAGUGAGAAGAAACCAGAACACUUGUUCCUAGUGUUGUGUUGUUUUUUUUAAGCAAAUUACUUACUGUAUUUUUAUGGCAGGAGGGAGAAAAAGUGUUACAACGGUUUCUAAUGAAGUCCGGUAUUUAAAUGAUAAAUGACUAAUGUGUUUAGUAGAGACAAAAUAAACCAAUAAAUGAUUGUUCUUUGCCAUUUAUGCAGGAAACUACCCUUUUCUCAAUAUAACCAAACAAAGGCUAAUUUAUAAAUGCUUUAUUGAAAAAUACACUUAUCUUCAUAUAAAAUUACAGUAGCAGUAUCUUGAGAAGUUUUAUAAAUAUUUUUGCAGAACACUAUUCUAAUUGAACAAUGUAAGUUCCAUAUUUCUCUCAGCAAUAUGAAGUUACCUAGUAACUUUGUUUAUACUGAUUCAAUUUACAAUUGAAUUUUCUCCCUAAUAAGAUUAUUAAUUUGACUUGAAAACUGCUGGAACAAUAGUGAUUAAUAAAGAUAUGUAUAGAUAAUUCAGCUGUUAAAUAACAUUUUCUAAUUUGUAUAAAUGGUACUAUGGUACUAAUAAAAACCUAAAUUCUCCAACCAAUUUUUUUAAACUGCCAGGAACACCCAAAAAUAUUUUUAAAUAUAUCACCUUAAUAGACAUUUCUUUUAGAUAACUCCCUCCUAAAGGAAGAGGUCAUAAGUUUUCAUAUUAAUCCCCUCAAUUCAACUUGAUUAAAAUCUUUUCUUAGCUGGUUGAUCCCUAUAUAACAAAAAACUGGAGAAUUUAAAACAUUCCCAAAAGGUGGCUAUAGGGGUUUUAACAUUUUAAAAAAAUAUAAAAGCAUUAAAGAAAAUAUUGGAUGUUUA
rnacentral:lncRNA from 1 species